GGGUCCCUACGGGGCGCAGCAGUGGGGGAUAUUGCACAAUGGGGGGAACCCUGAUGCAGCGACGCCGCGUGGGUGAAGGAGCGUUUCGGCGCGUAAAGCCCUAUCGGCAGGGAAGAAGAUGACGGUACCUGACCAAGAAGCCCCGGCUAACUACGUGCCGGCAGCCGCGGUAAUACGUAGGGGGCAAGCGUUAUCCGGAUUUACUGGGUGUAAAGGGGGCGCAGACGGCAAUGCAAGCCCGGAGUGAAAGCCCGGGGCCCAACCCCGGGACUGCGCUUGGAACUGCAUGGCUGGCGUACAGGAGG
rnacentral:rRNA from 1 species